CUUUAUUCUUCCAACUUUGUUUCUCCUGGGGAGUAGCAGCAGCUUGUUGUUCCUUCAGAAGCCUAAGAUCUGUAGGCAAUGUUUGCAUAGUGUAGAUGGGUAGUGUAUCUGUGGCCACUCUUCUGUCCACUUCCCAUCCUUGCCGUGCUGCUUCCUUAGCUGCCUGAUCAGCUAAGUGGUUGCCACGUGCUUCCUCUGUGUCUAGUCUUCCGUGGGCUUUUACUUUCAGUACUGCCACCUCUGCUGGGAGUUCCAAU